rnacentral:lncRNA from 1 species
UCUGCGAACCGCGCUACCCCCGCUCCCCACAGCGGCCUCCACCCCGGAACCGCCCCUGCCGCGGCCCCACAGCAGCGUGGCCACGGUGGGACCCGCACCCGACGCCGCCUCCAGCCCCCCGGAGCCUCCCGGAGCCCCGGCCCGGCCGCUCCCCGGGCAGCGCCGCCGCCAUCGCGCUCCUACCUCGCGUGUGCCGCGGAGGAAAGGGAAGGAGAGCGGGCGGCGGAAGCGGAAAUAGUCCGGAACGGAGCAGCGCGCUUCCGGCGCGGCGGCAUGGCGUCACCGGGCGGGAGCGCCGGUGGGCAAUGGCCGUUAAGCUGCCUCAGUGGGGCAGCGGCCGCUGAGGGGGCUAUGGAGGAAGCGGAGCGGUGCCGUCGCUCGGGCUCUGAGGGGCUAUGGAGGAACCGGAGCGGUGCCGUCGCUCGGGCUCUGAGGGCUAUGGGGGAACCGGAGCGCUGCCGCCGCUCGGGCUCUGAGGGGCUAUGGAGGAACCGGAGGGGUGCCGCUGCUCGGGCUCUGAGGGGCUAUGGAGGAACCGGAGCGCUGCCGCCGCUCGGGCUCUGAGGGGGCUAUGGAGGAACCGGAGGGGUGCCGCUGCUCGGGCUCUGAGGGGCUAUGGAGGAACCGGAGCGCUGCCGCCGCUCGGGCUCUGAGGGGCUAUGGAGGAACCGGAGCGGUGCCGCUGCUCGGGCUCUGAGGGGAUGCGGGGCGCGGGUGUCACCCCGAGGGGUCCUGUCCUUUUUCACACGCCCCUCGAGGGCCUUCAUUCCUCACGGCACCAAGAACCUGAGGGGCACCGACCGCCCUCAGAGGGGGCUGGAGCCAACCGACCCCCCAUAGAAUCAUAGAAUGGUUUGGGUUGGAGAGGACCAUAAGAGCAUCCAGUUCCAAACCCCCUGCAAUGGGCAGGGACACCUCACACUAAACCAUAUCACCCAAAGCUUCAUCCAACCUGGCCUUGAACACUGCCAGGGAUGGAGCAUUCACAACCUCCCUGGGCAACCCAUUCCAGUGCCUCAGCACCCUCACA